GAUGGGUCUCUCUCUGUCUGUGGUUUUUCAUCAUAAAACUAUAAAAAGUUUCAGUUUUAUGUAGAACAGGAAAAAUCAAAAUCUCAAAAAUGUUUGUGGGAUGGGAAAACCAUUUCCUGCCCAGAACAGCCGCCUGUAGUUUUCCCUCUAGAGGCCCCUAUGCUGUUUGUGCCACAGGUAGUUGUAGCAGCUGCCUGCAAUGCUAGGGGGCCCAUAUAUUCUCUGAGCAGGGAAGAGCUCUGGAGCUGGCACAGAGCAAGCGUCAGCUGCCUUCCACUUUUAUCUCAGCAGCGGAGGGGUCAUCCCCAGCACAGUGCAGGAAGGGGAAAUUAAUGGAGCUUGGAGCCCAGGUGGCUGGAGGCAGAGGUAGCUAUUGGAGGGAGAGGGCUGAGGUGCCAUGGAAUUACUGAGGUACCCUGCUUGACUGCAGGAACUCUUACCUACGCCUAACUGCAGCACAGUCAGUAGAACAGCAGCAAGAUGCAGAAAUGGAGAUGCUGAGAUUGUCCAACCAAAGUCAGAUGGAGUCAGUAGCAGAGCUGUGAAUGUAACCUGAGGCUCCAUGCUAGGGAGAAUUGACCAGCUUUCCAUUUGUUAUAAAGUGUAGUGGG